rnacentral:rRNA from 1 species
GUGAAAUUGAACUCGCUGUGAAGAUGCAGUGUACCCGCGGCAAGACGGAAAGACCCCGUGAACCUUUACUAUAGCUUGACACUGAACACUGGUCCUUGAUGUGUAGGAUAGGUGGGAGGCUUUGAAGUGUGGACGCCAGUCUGCAUGGAGCCAUCCUUGAAAUACCACCCUUUAAUGGCUGGUGUUCUAACGUGGGCCCGUUAUCCGGGUUGCGGACAGUGUCUGGUGGGUAGUUUGACUGGGGCGGUCUCCUCCUAAAGAGUAACGGAGGAGCACGAAGGUCAGCUAAUCCUGGUCGGACAUCAGGAGGUUAGUGCAAUGGCAUAAGCUGGC